rnacentral:rRNA from 1 species
GGGCCCGCACAAGCGGUGGAGCAUGUGGUUUAAUUCGAUGCAACGCGAAGAACCUUACCAGGGCUUGACAUACUACAGAUCUCCUCGAAAUGGGAGAGUGCCUUCGGAAUGUAGAUACAGGUGGUGCAUGGCUGUCGUCAGCUCGUGUCGUGAGAUGUUGGUUAAGUCCCGCAACGAGCGCAACCCACGUCUUUAGUUGCCAGCAUUUAGUUGGGCACUCUAGAGAGACUGCCGGUGAUAAACCGGAGGAAGGUGUGGAUGACGUCAAGUCAUCAUGCCCCUUACAUCCUGGGCCUACACACGUACUACAAUGCUACGGACAAAGAGCAGCAAGUUCGCGAGGAC